rnacentral:rRNA from 1 species
AUGAGUUCUCUAGUUUGGAACUGCCGGGGGGGUGGGGGGGGGGACUGCCGGACAGUUCGCGAGGUCUUGGCCCUCUGCAAAGCCAAUUCCCCGGGGCUGGUUUUUCUAUCUGAAACUAGACAAGCCUCAAGCAAGAUGGAGAAGAUCAAAAGGAGACUGCAUAUGAAAGGAUUUGCGGGUGUGUCCAGUGAUGGGUUAAGUGGGGGCCUGGCCCUCUAUUGGGACGAAAAUUUCCGAGUGACUGUCUUGGACUCUUGUGCACGGUAUAUAGACGUGCGAAUUGUAGACGGAGAAAAUGAUAAGACAUGGAGGACAACCUAUGUUUAUGGAAAACCACGGGUGGAGAACAGACACCGUAUGUGGAGCGCUCUGUCAAACCUACGGGCCAUCUCCUCGGAGCCGUGGCUAGUGUGUGGGGAUUUUAAUGAAGCAAUGUGGCAACAUGAACACCUCUCCCUUAUGCAACGGUCUGAGAAUCAAAUGCAACAGUUUAGGGAUUGUCUACUGGCAUGUGAGUUGAUGGACUUGGGGUUCUCUGGGAUCCCGUAUACAUAUGAUAAUGGUCAAGUGGGAAACAGAAACGUCCGUGUUCGGUUGGAUAGAGCAUGUGUUGAUGAA